rnacentral:rRNA from 1 species
GAGCGGACAGAUGGGAGCUUGCUCCCUGAUGUUAGCGGCGGACGGGUGAGUAACACGUGGGUAACCUGCCUGUAAGACUGGGAUAACUCCGGGAAACCGGGGCUAAUACCGGAUGGUUGUUUGAACCGCAUGGUUCAAACAUAAAAGGUGGCUUCGGCUACCACUUACAGAUGGACCCGCGGCGCAUUAGCUAGUUGGUGAGGUAACGGCUCACCAAGGCAACGAUGCGUAGCCGACCUGAGAGGGUGAUCGGCCACACUGGGACUGAGACACGGCCCAGACUCCUACGGGAGGCAGCAGUAGGGAAUCUUCCGCAAUGGACGAAAGUCUGACGGAGCAACGCCGCGUGAGUGAUGAAGGUUUUCGGAUCGUAAAGCUCUGUUGUUAGGGAAGAACAAGUACCGUUCGAAUAGGGCGGUACCUUGACGGUACCUAACCAGAAAGCCACGGCUAACUACGUGCCAGCAGC